CCUGCCCCUAGAGGCAUUGCAAGGGUGGCUGCUGUGUCAAAUGUGUGUCUGCAGGUGGCAGAGAGGAGAGAGGCUGUGUCUAUGCUCAGUGUCCUGACCUGUGAACAUCUGAGUAAUUAGUAGCCUAACAUU